rnacentral:rRNA from 1 species
AGAAUCUGCCCUCAGGAGGGGGAUAACGGCUGGAAACGGCCGCUAAUACCCCAUAUGCCGAGAGGUGAAAUGAAUUUCGCCUGAGGAUGAGCUCGCGUCUGAUUAGCUAGUUGGUGUGGUAAAGGCUCACCAAGGCAUCGAUCAGUAGCUGGUCUGAGAGGAUGAUCAGCCACACUGGGACUGAGACACGGCCCAGACUCCUACGGGAGGCAGCAGUGGGGAAUUUUCCGCAAUGGGCGCAAGCCUGACGGAGCAACGCCGCGUGAGGGAUGAAGGCCUCUGGGCUGUAAACCUCUUUUAUCAAGGAAGAAGAUCUGACGGUACUUGAUGAAUAAGCCACGGCUAAUUCCGUGCCAGCAGCCGCGGUAAUACGGGAGUGGCAAGCGUUAUCCGGAAUUAUUGGGCGUAAAGCGUCCGCAGGCGGUCUUGAAAGUCUGUUGUUAAAGCGUGGAGCUCAACUCCAUUUCAGCAAUGGAAACUAGAAGACUAGAGUGUGGUAGGGGCAGAGGGAAUUCCCGGUGUAGCGGUGAAAUGCGUAGAUAUCGGGAAGAACACCAGUGGCGAAGGCGCUCUGCUGGGCCAUAACUGACGCUCAUGGACGAAAGCCAGGGGAGCGAAAGGGAUUAGAUACCCCUGUAGUCCUGGCCGUAAACGAUGAACACUAGGUGUCGGGGGAAUCGACCCCCUCGGUGUCGUAGCCAACGCGUUAAGUGUUCCGCCUGGGGAGUACUCACGCAAGUGUGAAACUCAAAGGAAUUGACGGGGGCCCGCACAAGCGGUGGAGUAUGUGGUUUAAUUCGAUGCAACGCGAAGAACCUUACCAGGGUUUGACAUCCUGCGAAUCCCUUGGAAACUUGGGAGUGCCUUCGGGAGCGCAGUGACAGGUGGUGCAUGGCUGUCGUCAGCUCGUGUCGUGAGAUGUUGGGUUAAGUCCCGCAACGAGCGCAACCCACGUCUUUAGUUGCCAGCAUUAAGUUGGGCACUCUAGAGAGACUGCCGGUGAUAAACCGGAGGAAGGUGUGGAUGACGUCAAGUCAUCAUGCCCCUUACAUCCUGGGCUACACACGUACUACAAUGCUACGGACAAAGGGCAGCAAACUCGCGAGAGCUAGCAAAUCCCAUAAACCGUGGCUCAGUUCAGAUCGUAG